rnacentral:rRNA from 1 species
UACAGAGGUCCCGAGCGUUGUUCGGAUUCAUUGGGCGUAAAGGGUGCGUAGGCGGCUUCCUAAGUUUGAUGUGAAAUCCUGGGGCUCAACCCUGGAACUGCAUUGAAUACUGGGAGGCUAGAGUACGGGAGAGGAAACUGGAAUUUACGGUGUAGCAGUGAAAUGCGUAGAGAUCGUAAGGAAGACCAGUGGCGAAGGCGAGUUUCUGGACAGUUACUGACGCUGAGGCACGAAGGCCAGGGGAGCAAACGGG